rnacentral:misc_RNA from 1 species
AUUAUGAACAAAAUAAUACCUUUAUUUUUAUAUUUAACAGUUAAUACAAUAAUUAUUUUUUAUUGAAUGCUUCUACAUUAAAAUAUUAUAUAAACAACUAACCAUUAAAAGCUAAAAAGCUAAUAUCACCCAACAGAACAUUAGUAAAUUCACUGUGCAGAUUUUGGCUUUCCUUUCCUGUCUUAUCUUUCUCCAUUUCUUCGCGGAACUCAUCCCUUUGUUCACAAAUCCAUCAUCACAAACCCACUCUACUUGCAUUCAUUUACUCUUACUGUUACUAUGUUAUUCAUUUACUUGCAUUCAUUUUCUCUGGCAUUCCCAUGCAAGAAGAUAGAAUGAUGGUCAAGGAGGUGGCCAUGUGAAAGCAGAUGAGAGAAAACAAAUAACUAAAGCUUCCAGCAAGA